rnacentral:lncRNA from 1 species
AUUGAGUGUUUUCAGAUUCUAUUUUUAAAAAUUAAGUAAUUUUGUAAAAAAAUUAAAAAUUCUAUCAAAUUUAUAAUUCAUAAUUUAUUGAGUUUGAUAGUACCAAACAUUUGGUACUAUAAAAUUUUUCAUCGUUAAAUUUACCAUUUUAAUUAUUUACACUCAUUAGAUCAUACAAUUUAAUAAACUACCGACUCAAUCUUAGAAAAGCGCUAUCAUCCUAACCGCACAUUAUUUAAUCUAAAGGUUGAAAAUCUAAUAGCACCAAAUGCAGUAUAGCAACCUAAUUCAUAAUUUUAUUAGAUUUAAUAAUUUUAAAUAUUUUU